rnacentral:rRNA from 1 species
GACGAACGCUGGCGGCGUGCUUAACACAUGCAGGUCGAACGGAAAGGCCCUGCUUUUGUGGGGUGCUCGAGUGGCAAACGGGUGAGUAACACGUGAGUAACCUGCCCUUGACUUUGGGAUAACUUCAGGAAACUGGGGCUAAUACCGGAUAGGAGCUCCUGCUGCAUGGGGGGGGUUGGAAAGUUUCGGCGGUUGGGGAUGGACUCGCGGCUUAUCAGCUGGUUGGUGGGGUAGUGGCUUACCAAGGCUUUGACGGGUAGCCGGCCUGAGAGGGUGACCGGCGACCUUGGGCCUGCGGUACGGCCCAGUAUCCUACGGGAGGCAGCAGUGGGGAAUCUUGCGCAAUGGGCGGAAGCCUGAUGCAGCAACCCCGCGUGCGGGAUGACGGCCUUCGGGUUGUAAACCGCUUUCGCCUGUGACGAAGCGUGAGUGACGGUAAUGGGUAAAGAAGCACCGGCUAACUACGUG